AGAGUUUGAUCCUGGCUCAGAACGAACGCUGGCGGCGUGUUUUAUACAUGCAAGUCGAGCGAGGACAGUAGCUUGCUACUGAGCCGAGCGGCGAACGGGCGAGUAACGCGUAAGCAAUCUGCCCCACCAUCGGGAGCAACCGUGCCAACGCGCGGCUAAUGCCGGAUAUUGUGUCCUGCUGCAUAGUAGGUUAACGAAAGAUUUAUCGUUGUGGGAUGAGCUUGCGCCCGAUUAGCUAGUUGGCGGGGUAAUAGCCCACCAAGGCGACGAUCGGUAGCCGGCCUGAGAGGGUGAUCGGCCACAUUGGGACUGAGAUACGGCCCAGACUCCUACGGGAGGCAGCAGUAGGGAAUAUUGCGCAAUGGGGGGAACCCUGACGCAGCAACGCCACGUGUGGGAAGAAGCAUUUCGGUGUGUAAACCACUGUCGGAAAGGAAUAACGGAAGACUUCGGUCUUUAUGAAUGUACUUUUAGAGGAAGCACCGGCAAACUUCGUGCCAGCAGCCGCGGUAAUACGAGGGGUGCAAGCGUUGUUCGGAAUCACUGGGCGUAAAGGGAGCGUAGGCGGAAGUGCAAGCAAUCUGUAUAAUCCUGGGGCCCAACCCCAGUUCUGCAGAUUGGACUGUAUUUCUUGAAUAGUUCAGAGGCAAGCGGAAUUUCUGGUGUAGCGGUGGAAUGCGUAGAGAUCAGAAAGAACACCAAUGGCGAAGGCAGCUUGCUGGGGACUUAUUGACGCUGAGGCUCGAAAGUGUGGGUAGCAUACAAGAUUAGAUACCCUGGUAGUCCACACUGUAAACGAUGCAUACUGGGGUGUCCGAAAUUCUUUUCGGGUAC
rnacentral:rRNA from 1 species